GCCUGCGGGGGGUGGUGGGUGUGUUCUGCGUGCCUCCAGGGCUCGCACAUAGCUCAGAAUGCGGAGCUCGUCCGCUUCCACGUCAGCUGUGGGAGCCGCUUGGAGAAAGAAAACGCGCUGCUGUCCUGGAUAGGCGCACAGGAGGAGGCUGGAUAUGGCCUUUGCUACGGGGUUUCGUCGCUUCUACGUAGUAGAUCUGGGGAGUUGCCUGUUCCUUGGGCCAAAGCGGUACUUGGUGACGGUGGAUGGCCUUACAGGGCAUCAUCUGCUGGGGGUGAACGUUGUGUGCGUCACGCGGGUCCUAUGAGCAGCCUGGUGUCCUGCGCAGGAACAGAGGUUCACACCUCUCUGAGGAUGUAGUUUCACCAUUAGUGCAGGCCAACCUGUGUAUCUUGCUUCCAGAAGGGCAGCCCUGCCUUCCUCUCUGAUCCUGGCCGGGCUUUCCUAUUUAUUUACAAAGCAGUAACCCUGAUGUUGCUAUCUGGUGAGGCACACCUGCGGUCCGAUCCAGCUGAAAGCCGGCUAUGCCCCUCCAAAAAAUAGCUGGCUUGCAGCUGGGCCUACUCCUGAACGAGGUGACCCAACAGAGCUGCAGCAAGUACCAGGAGGAUGGAGGUGGAGGCAGGAGGAACCCACUGAGACCACAGCAGAGCUGAGCUGCACUGCUGCAGUCACUCCCUGCUGCCACAGCUCCUGCGUGACAGUGCUGAGAGCAUCCCGCUAUUAGCAGCCUGGUGAUAGCUCCCGAUGGAACAUGAUUUCUCUGGAAGACGUAAAUUGCAAUCUUAAGGAAGCUCCAUCAGAGCCUGAACCUCCAGAAUUUGUGAUGGAAUAGCAACACAGAAGGAUGUAGUCAACAUCUUUCACACAAGAUUUCCCAUCAUUUAACGGAGGGGAGGAGAGAGAGGAGAGAGGAGGCACACUUGGCUGCAUUCCUCUGCUGGUCUUCUGUGUCAGUCCUGCAGCACGUGACUCCUGCAACACUUAGCUAUUUUUAACCUGGAUGUGGUCUGUGAUUUGUUUCACACGCAGCUCUGAAAUGGCACAGCUGAGGGAAUGACAGAAGCGUAGAUCAUUGUAGUUGGAGAAGACCUUCAAGAUCAUCACGUCCAAGUGCCGACCCAUCCCCACCAUGCUCACUGACCAUGUCCUGUGCCACGUUCACACGGUUCUUGUACACCUCCAGGGAUGGUGAGUCCACCACCGCCACGGGCAGCUGUGCCACUGCCUCAUCACUCUUUCUGAGAAGAAGUUGUUUCUAACAUGUAAAGGUUUUCUCCACAAGUAGUGCUCUGGUGUAAGUCAGAGAGGAGGAAGGCUCUCUGGUGGUAGUCUGGUUCUAGGAAUUUGCCUCAGACAGCUGUGAGUGGCUUAGCAAAAGGUAGGGGAGGAGGGGGGGAAGCAGAAGCCCCCAACCUCUGAAUAAGGGAAAAAUGCUGCAAGAGGGAAGAGACCAAGUGAAUGAAGCUUCACACCCAAUCUCCCCCCGAGAGUGGAAAACUUUCUGAGGGAGUUGGCACCUAUCUACCACCAAUGUGCUUAAGAGAAGCCAAGUUGCACGAGGAAGUGUCACCUGCAGUGCUGGUGUGUGAGACUUGGCUGCAAGGCCUGCAAGUUUUGCUCAUUUCUGUCCCAUAAGUGGUCACCCAAUACGUACGGUAUCUUUUCUUUCCUCUCAGUGCGAGCGAUUUUGUCCUCUUUGAUAAACCAUCAUUCAUCCGUAGCGAGGAACUGUAAUCCUAAUGACCCGUGUUAAUUAAAAAUCUAAUGGCUCUUUCUCGGGAGAAAGUUUGUUAGUUCCAGUGUUUUUCUAAGCUAAUUAUAUCCAGCCAGGCUGUCACCCUCCCCUGUAGUUUCACUACUGCUCACUUUCUCUGAACUCCUGCAUGCUGCUGCACUGCAUCAUUUUGUUGUGUUCCACUCCAUCAUUUCAAAAUUGGUUGCAUAUUUGUUUCAAAGCAUGGCAAAAGCUUUAGAGGCUGUGGGAGAGAGAUGCUGUAUCUGUGCUGUGAUGACGGACAGUCUGUGACCUCGAAUUCACUGCCUUGUAGCACCACACUGUAAUGGAGAAACUGUGACUCUUCAUCUCCCCUGUGUUCUAAAAUAGCAAGAGAUAAACAGGAAAAUGGGGAGACACGUUCUGCUUCAUAUUGUUUGGUUCUCCAGUCAGCUCAGCCUCUGAUAUUAAUAACUUCCUGUUUUGUUUGAAGCCUUCUGACAAGUGAGGAGCCUUCAUUUCAGUCUGAACUCCGGCACCCAAAUGGCCAACGUGUUUCCGGACUCUGGGCAACAAAUUCCAGUUUUCUGCUUACCUCUAGGCCAGAAUUUUAGAACUGAAAGUCAAACUGAUGAAAAUUGCAUGCCUGAACCACCUGUGAGUUGCCAAAGUACAAAUGCCCUGGCUUUCACAGCAGGUGGACACCUGCAGCCCCUGUAAGUAGUCAUGGGACUUGAGAGGGCAGCAUCUGCAAAUCUGUCCAACUUGGUACAGGAUCAAACAAGGAUGCUAACCUAAAACUCUGGACUCCUGUUCAUUUCCAAGGAUGUGCUCAAAUAUGAGAAACAGACAAGAGGAUCUGGAAAAACAUGCAUUUACCUAAUAUUGCUUGUGUACAAUGCUAGUGAAAUGUGUGCUCAUCAUUUGCAUCAUUUUUCAGAAGCCUAAACUAUUUCUUUUCCAGGAUUCUGAUGAACUUCUGCUGUGAACUAUUUCCUGUGGAUAACAUGCAGAAGAAGCAGAGUCCCCCAGCAUGCCUGACUGAUGUGUACUGCCCACAGCUGCCACGCCAUGUAACCAGGAACCAACUCCAGACUGUGGUAUGCAGUGGGAUAGCUUGAACGCAACAGUUCUAGGAGGGUUAAAAAUUAAACCAGCAAUCAAGAUCUAAAGCGGCGCUGGGUUUAAAAGACUGGCAAGGUUCAGCUGUGAGUCAAUUCAUUAGUUGCAGUUAAUAUUGCUAGAAGAGCUUGACAAAAGGAAACACGAAGCAACUGAAAAGAAACAUCCUUAAGGUGAAUGUCAAAGUUUUUGCAUUCAGCGAAGAAACGAAAAGCUGAAUACAGAAGAGAAAGCACUGGUUCCCAUUGAGUGGUUACAGAGGAAACAAUCGUACUACUACAGAGACCUGACUAGAGAAUGAAUCUCAUGACUGGCUUAUCUCCUCCAGGACGGGUGAGAAACCCAAAGUAGCUACAGUCUCUGUUCAGACUUGCACAUAGAAGGCUCUGUUCCAUCAGGGUACACUGAAAUGCUGGGUUUGUGUAGCAGUGGUGAUUUCCAGUUUUCUUGAAUCCCAUUGUCUGUUCAUCACCCACUUAGGAGCAAAGAAGGAGCUUCUGCAUCUGUGCAUCUGGUGUGACCUACACAGUGCAGCCAUGGGCUCCUGCUGCCUUGGAAGCAGCCUUCCAAAGAAACAGUUCCAGCACAUUCUCCUAGGCAAAUAGUUAAUUAUCAACACUAACAAGUGAGUUUCACAUUUCUAUGUCCACUGUACAUACAUCUCGGUCUCCCAGGUGUCUUGUCCAGAUGGGGUGUGGAUCCUCAGCCAUUGGCAUUCCAGGCAGUAGAUGCAGGCAGUGGGUCGCAUGGUGUGGGGCUCAGCUCCAGUGGUUGUCCCCCUGAGGCACUGUUGCCCUUCUCUUCCUCCUUUUGGAAAUGUGGAAAGAAAUGGCCACUGUUUGGGAUAAUCUUUGGCAGCACCUCCUGUCCCUGCUGUAGCUGCACCUUCCUACCUCUGGAUCGCAGCGCGUUAUCUGUAUGCUAAGCAGAGAACUCCCCCACUUAGGAUUUAUAUUUAUUUGGUGUUUUUUCUAAGCAGUAAUGAUAGGUCAGCAGGCAGGAAAUAUUUUAGCUGGCUUUGCCAUUAAGAGCCUUUUUUAUGCAAUCAAGUGUCAAGGUGCUGCUUUGGGAGAGCGUGGGGAACUGUCCUGACACCACCACUGCCAGAGGCCCUGCUUUGCAGCAGCGGGAUCUGCAGGAGCAGGAGCAUCAUACCCCUGUGCUGGAGCUCAGCCAGGCUGCCUGCAGGCAUCACAUACUAGGGCAGUGGCUGCCUGUCCCCCUCAGGAGCUGGGAGAUGGUGUCACCUGCCCACAGAGCACUCAGCACUGCUCACAUUGGACAUGGGUGUUUUCAUAACUGGGAUGAAGAAACAGAUGCCUUUUCUUGCUCUAGAGAGAUUAUUUCUUCUGUGCCACUAGCCUGAGAUUGUUUGCUUGGCUUAGCCUGUGUUUUCACCAUAUGCAACAAGCCUUAACCACUUCAUUUGGGGCUGCUAUUCAUUUGGGGCCAAUAUGAAACAUUUCUGGCUUUUUUUUUUUCAUUUUUCUGGCCCAUACAUGUUGCUAAUCUAUCCCCUUGUCUACAUACUCUUUCUUCUCCAACAUUUCAGGUUUCCUGCCUUGUAAUAUUUCAAAUCCAUGACUGCUUGCUGCUGCAGAUGGAGUAUUGGUUACCCUCCAUCAUCGGUCUGGCUGCGAAGACUUCCUGUGCUUGACAAGUUGAUUACUUCGUCAAGGUGAAUGUUCAGUCGAGUCUGUCUGGAGGACCUCUGUGUGUCUGAUGCCAGCUGGUUUCUCACCAGACGCACUGUUUCACCAGGCACAGAAUAAUAUGAGGAGAAAAAAUGGGAUUUUGAGGGGCUUUUUUCCCCACUCCCUUUUUGAGGUUGGUGUUGCUCCAGUUUAUCCCAGUAGGAUGUAGGUGGAUAACUCUCUAAAUGCAGCCAUCUUCUAUAUGGAGAGCAAACCUCUCUGAUGAAAUGCCGUUGUCCUUUAUAUGUGGUUUUCCCUGCCUUUAGGAUCCCCAAAAGAGGUUAGAUAGCUUGGAAGCUGUGGCAUUAACAGUGCUUUCAUAUUGUCCAUUGUGUAUCAUCAAGGAAGCGCAGUAAAACCCAAAUAAAUUAAAUGAAUUUCAUUGCAGUUCCUGAGGGAGAGCAGGAUGCUUUACUUGUGAGUUUCAAGUCAGGUCAGGAGGGUUGGAUCUCCACAGAGAAACUGCUGACACAGGCCCAGAAAUGUCAUUAGUAAGGUAAAGAAAAACAUCCAAACUUCUCUUAAUAGUCCUUUGUGAAUACUUUAUAGGAAGUGGCAUCCAGACAACAAUAGGUAUUAAGAAAUUGGGAAAUAACAGUAAACAGCACAAAGUAAACAGCACAGAGAAAACUGUGUGUGCUUUCUGAGAAGGUAAGGAAACUGCAUCACAAUGCUGAGUGCUUCAGGAGAGAAAAUUCUCAUAACUUCCAUAGCCAAACAUUGCUUGGGACCAGGGCGUGAAUGACUCCUCUGUGCUACUGCUGAGAGGGUGUUGCAACUUCUUGGCAGGUUACAGAAAAUAGAAUGUUGGCCAGCUUCAUUAUCUGGUGGUACAGGAACAUUUGUUUCUCUAGCCACAUGUGGCUGUGUCUGACCAUCUUGGGUAUCCAAGCAGGGAGUUCAAAGGAAAACCCUGUAGGCUUGGUUUUCAAAGGGACUUAUUUCCAGUAAGUGUGAACCUUGUUUCUAAAAGGAGAGAAAUCCUUGUUUACUCUUCUAGGAACUCAUAUUUCUGACAUAUUGUAGCAGAAAUAAUAAGCAAAAGCAUACUACAGUGGUGAGGUGAAUCCAGGGAGCAUGGCAACUGCUGCCAGACCAGCAUCUGCAGCCAAACCAGCCCCUGGUGCAUCAUGAGCACCUUCCCUGGCAGACGUGGUCCUGGGGUUACUGUCCUCAACAGAUCCCAUAUUAACACCUCAGUGAGGAGAAGAAUCAUAGAAUCACAGAAUAUCCUGAAUUGAAAGAGGCCUACAAGGACCAUCAGCUUAACUCCUGGCUUCACAUAGGAACACACAAAAUUGAAAUCCUAUGUCUGCAACUGUUGUCCAAACACUCCUCAAAUCCAGCAGCUGAGGCCAUGCCCACCACCCUGAAGAGCCUCUUCCAUGCCCACCACCCUCCGGUAAAGAACCUUUUCCUAAAACCGAGGCUGACCCUCCUUCUGGUGCAGCUCCAUGCUGUUAAAGAACGAUGGAGUUUUUCCUGUGUCCCACCAUACCUGACAAGGCAAGGAUGUGUUGCAGUCCCUAUAAAUUGAGCUAUUUCAGACCGACUUUGUGCAAGAGUGGAAGAAGAGUAAUAUGUAGCCACUUUUAUCCCCUUGGAAAGGUAGAGGCAGGAGAGCAGGCUGCCAGACCUCCAGAGAAGCAAGGGUCUCCAUCAGGGCAUUUCCUAGCAGGAGGCAAGAAGAUCAUGCUUUCUCUCCUGUCAUUUAUUCCCUGAUGACUAUUUUCUUUGCUUCCUCCAGGCCCAGGGCCAGGAAGGCAAGCACUGGGAACACGUCCUGGUGCAUAGCCAGGGACGCAGCAGUGUCCUGCUGAGAGCAGUGGCCCGGGGCCGGGCACACAGCAUCCAGCCCUCCCCUGGAGACUGGUGUUUGCUGAGGGAUGCAAGGUAACCUCAGCAUUGAAAAUAGCUGGGACGUUGGCCAGCGAAGAUUAAUGGCAUCAUUAACAUCUCCAGUUUAUUUAUAGGAUUUAAAAAGUCUCCAACCUGUAAACAAAGCAGAGUUAUGCUGCGUAAUGCAGAGAAUCACAGGUUUACCUCCUUCCCACUCCUCUUAUUUCAUCCUUGUUGUUGAGACUGUAAAACCCCUGGGGCAGGACUGGCUCACUGCAAACUUACAUUAUAAACCUUCUCAAUGAGGGGGAUACGCACUGUUGUUUUUUUUUCCCAUGAAUGCCAUGUUUGUCUGGUCUCCUUUCUCCACUCAGCUCUUUCUGUGCUUUGUCCCGUGGCCCCUGUUAUGGAAAAUUCUCUUUUUGAAGAAUUCCUGAGGCCCAGGUUGGGAAGUCAUCACAGGAAUUAGUGAUUUUCUGCCUUGGGCCUUAAGCUGCAAGCUCUGUGUGAGGAGGAUUGAGCAUCUUGUAGCUGUGGAGAGCACCUAGGCCGUGCAUGGCCCCAGUGAAGCAUGCAGAUGUUAUUAAUGACCCUGGGGUCUUCCUACAGGCACUCAGGGCCACUCAGUUCCCAGGUUCUCAAGAAACUUGAAGGGCUGUCAAGAAAAGAAAAAGCAUGUUGGCCCCAGAACAGGAGUUCUCAGCACGUGAGCUGCAGCCACACCACCUGGCCCAUCUCCAGGAGCUCAGGAGAAGGUAAGGUAGAAAGAGGGCCUGUUGGCAGCAGACAGCAGGGAUCUGCUGCAGAGGUGUAUGGGUGGAGGGGGAAAGAAAAAUGUGAGAACAGGCCCCUCUAGGCACACAGUGAUCACAUUAUGAAGAUGUGUUUUGGAGGGCAACCACCGUUCGUUUUGCUGUUUGUGAUGUGUUAAUCUGAGUUGUACUCCCAUGGCUCUCUCUCCUGGGCCUUUUGUCUUCUAGGGGGUAAAAUAAAGAAUUGGCAGAGAAUUUCUCAAA